UAAACAAGAUGGAGAGGGAUCGCCAUGUUAAUACGGCAAUCACCACUGGAAAGGAAACGCCAAGAAAAUUCUAUCAAUGAAAGUUAGGCGCAAAAGAAUGACGAGGGUGUAAUCUUAAACAAUACAAGUUACGUCUUCAACAGAAAUGAGCUGUAACCCUACUUACCAGACGUCUUCAAACCUCAAGAUAAUAUAUCUUCGGAAAAUUGGUGUGUCACAAUUGAGUAACCUAAGACUUUCUGUUUUGUGAUAUAUUCAAACUUUCUAAGCCAUUUCUGUGAUAUUACAAUUUCACAUGCAGAGAUCGACCAACCCAGAUUUGCAAACCAAAACAGUGAGAUAAAAUGAGUUAAAAAAUAUAAAGAUUUUUAAUAUGAGAGAUUAGAUUAUUUGUAUAGGUUUGAAAGUAUGUAAAGAGUAUAUUAUAUGAGAUAGAGAUUAGAUUAGAUUAUG